rnacentral:rRNA from 1 species
GAUGAACGCUGGCGGCGUGCCUAAUACAUGCAAGUCGAGCGAACGGACGAGAAGCUUGCUUCUCUGAUGUUAGCGGCGGACGGGUGAGUAACACGUGGAUAACCUACCUAUAAGACUGGGAUAACUUCGGGAAACCGGAGCUAAUACCGGAUAAUAUUUUGAACCGCAUGGUUCAAAAGUGAAAGACGGUCUUGCUGUCACUUAUAGAUGGAUCCGCGCUGCAUUAGCUAGUUGGUAAGGUAACGGCUUACCAAGGCAACGAUGCAUAGCCGACCUGAGAGGGUGAUCGGCCACACUGGAACUGAGACACGGUCCAGACUCCUACGGGAGGCAGCAGUAGGGAAUCUUCCGCAAUGGGCGAAAGCCUGACGGAGCAACGCCGCGUGAGUGAUGAAGGUCUUCGGAUCGUAAAACUCUGUUAUUAGGGAAGAACAUAUGUGUAAGUAACUGUGCACAUCUUGACGGUACCUAAUCAGAAAGCCACGGCUAACUACGUGCCAGCAGCCGCGGUAAUACGUAGGUGGCAAGCGUUAUCCGGAAUUAUUGGGCGUAAAGCGCGCGUAGGCGGUUUUUUAAGUCUGAUGUGAAAGCCCACGGCUCAACCGUGGAGGGUCAUUGGAAACUGGAAAACUUGAGUGCAGAAGAGGAAAGUGGAAUUCCAUGUGUAGCGGUGAAAUGCGCAGAGAUAUGGAGGAACACCAGUGGCGAAGGCGACUUUCUGGUCUGUAACUGACGCUGAUGUGCGAAAGCGUGGGGAUCAAACAGGAUUAGAUACCCUGGUAGUCCACGCCGUAAACGAUGAGUGCUAAGUGUUAGGGGGUUUCCGCCCCUUAGUGCUGCAGCUAACGCAUUAAGCACUCCGCCUGGGGAGUACGACCGCAAGGUUGAAACUCAAAGGAAUUGACGGGGACCCGCACAAGCGGUGGAGCAUGUGGUUUAAUUCGAAGCAACGCGAAGAACCUUACCAAAUCUUGACAUCCUUUGACAACUCUAGAGAUAGAGCUUUCCCCUUCGGGGGACAAAGUGACAGGUGGUGCAUGGUUGUCGUCAGCUCGUGUCGUGAGAUGUUGGGUUAAGUCCCGCAACGAGCGCAACCCUUAAGCUUAGUUGCCAUCAUUAAGUUGGGCACUCUAAGCUGACUGCCGGUGACAAACCGGAGGAAGGUGGGGAUGACGUCAAAUCAUCAUGCCCCUUAUGAUUUGGGCUACACACGUGCUACAAUGGACAAUACAAAGGGCAGCGAAACCGUGAGGUCAAGCAAAUCCCAUAAAGUUGUUCUCAGUUCGGAUUGUAGUCUGCAACUCGACUACAUGAAGCUGGAAUCGCUAGUAAUCGUAGAUCAGCAUGCUACGGUGAAUACGUUCCCGGGUCU